AUUGAACGCUGGCGGCAGGCCUAACACAUGCAAGUCGAACGAGUGGCGGACGGGUGAGUAAUGUCUGGGAAACUGCCCGAUGGAGGGGGAUAACUACUGGAAACGGUAGCUAAUACCGCAUACCAUCGGAUGUGCCCAGAUGGGAUUAGCUUGUCGGUGAGGUAACGGCUCACCUCGGCGACGAUCCCUAGCUGGUCUGAGAGGAGGACCAGCCAAGUUGGAACUGAGACACGGGCCAGACGCCUACGGGAGGCAGCAGUGGGGAAGAUUGCACAAUGGGCGAAAGCCUGAUGCAGCAAUGCAGCGUGUAUGAAGAAGGCCUUCGGGUUGUAAAGUACUUUCAGCGGGGAGGCGUUACCCGCAGAAGAAGCACCGGCUAACUCCGUGCCAGCAGCCGCGGUAAUAC
rnacentral:rRNA from 1 species